GGGGUUGUGGCUCGGUGGUAGAGUGCUUGCCUAGCUUGAAUGAGGCUCUGGGUUCAAUCCUCAGUACCACA
rnacentral:tRNA from 1 species